rnacentral:lncRNA from 1 species
CCUUCCUCCUCUCUGACCCCAUCCAACACCCCUUGUUAAGGAAACCGUCUUAAACCCAGGGCAAGAAACAUAAAGUCACUUGGCUGUCCCUUAUCUCUAAGGGCACCUGAUGCAUAAGUGGACUAGAGAAAGGAAAGAAAGAAAAACUCCAAAGACCUACAAAUCGU